CAACAUCCAGGAAGGAAGACGUUUCUAAGGUAACCACCGAGGCCUUCUACCAAGGUGGCUCCAUGAAAGCGUUGAACUGGUGAGAGUGACAAAAAGCAGUUCAUUGGAUAAUGUAGAAAAAGCUCUGCACUGAAGCAGGAGGAGCCAGAGCUUCCAUCCACAGGGCGCAGCAGAU
rnacentral:lncRNA from 1 species